GGGAUUUUCACUGCAGCAUAUCUCACAAACUGGAGAGGUCAGACAAAUAAUGAAAAGUGCUGUGUGAUGAUGGAGGCAAGGUCUACAUUGUGGCAGUGUUUGAUAUAGCAGCAGGGAGGAGUCAAUUACACACCAGCACAAAGAAAGGAGAGUAGGAGUAGAAACCUUGGAGGACAACUCAAAAAGGCAAAAGAAAAAACGAGAACACACAAAGGACAGAUUGCAGGAAUCUGCUGGUUGCCCUUGGAAACAGACAGCGGUAGUUUAUCUUCACUCUGCAGUCAGCUAACAGUUUAGCCCUAACAGUGAUGUUGCAUAUGAGCUCCCGCAAUACACUUCUUGCUGAUAACAGAGAACUUGCAGGAUUCUGUAUUUAGCUUUACAAGAAACAAAAGACUUUAAAAAACAAAAAAGUACUUUAUCCACCCAUAUGUGUGCCACAUUUCAACUUAU